UGGGAUGUGGCUCAGUGGUAAAGCGCUCUGGGUUCAAAUCCCUAACCCAUGACCACUAGAUCAACAAUGUUCAGCAUAAGGCUGGUACUGUCUACUUUAACUAGGGGACAGACUAGCUUAAUGAUAGGGUACUUGCCUAGUAUGCAUGAAGCCCUGGGUUCCAUCCCCAGCACCCCAA
rnacentral:tRNA from 1 species